AUUUUGGGCUGCUAACUCAUAACGAACAUGGUUCUUGCCUUUUACCAGAACCAUCCGGGUGUUGUCUUUUCCGGGGGCAAGUUUUACAGUGCUGCUUACUUUUUGGAACUUUUCCCAUUUUUGUUAGAU
rnacentral:snRNA from 17 species